CGGGACGUAGCGCAGCUUGGUAGCGCGCCUGCUUUGGGAGCAGGAGGUCGCUGGUUCAAAUCCAGUCGUCCCGA
rnacentral:tRNA from 1 species